UUAACUGGCCGCCGGGGGGCUUACGCCCCCGGGCCCGCGCCCGCCGAAGACACCCUCGAACUCUGUCUGAAGAUUGUAGUCUGAGUGAAAAUAUAAAUUAUUUAAAACUUUCAACAACGGAUCUCUUGGUUCCGGCAUCGAUGAAGAACGCAGCGAAAUGCGAUACGUAAUGUGAAUUGCAAAUUCAGUGAAUCAUCGAGUCUUUGAACGCACAUUGCGCCCCCUGGUAUUCCGGGGGGCAUGCCUGUCCGAGCGUCAUUGCUGCCCUCAAGCACGGCUUGUGUGUUGGGCCCCGUCCUCCGAUCCCGGGGGACGGGCCCGAAAGGCAGCGGCGGCACCGCGUCCGGUCCUCGAGCGUAUGGGGCUUUGUCACCCGCUCUGUAGGCCCGGCCGGCGCUUGCCGAUCAACCCAAAUUUUUAUCCAGGUUGACCUCGGAUCAGGUAGGGAUACCCGCUGAACUUAAGCAUAUCAAUA
rnacentral:rRNA from 1 species